rnacentral:tRNA from 1 species
AGCUUCGUGGUGUAGAACACAUCGGAUUGCAAAUCCGAAGAUGCAGGCUUACCUCUGCCGGGGCUU